rnacentral:rRNA from 1 species
GACGUAGGGCGCGAGCGUUGUCCGGAUUUAUUGGGCGUAAAGAGCUCGUAGGCGGUUCGUCGCGUCGGCUGUGAAAACCCGGAGCUCAACUCCGGGCCUGCAGUCGAUACGGGCGAACUUGAGUGUUGCAGGGGAGACUGGAAUUCCUGGUGUAGCGGUGAAAUGCGCAGAUAUCAGGAGGAACACCGGUGGCGAAGGCGGGUCUCUGGGCAACUACUGACGCUGAGGAGCGAAAGCGUGGGGAGCGAACAGG